AUGAACCAAGAAAUAUUUUACUCCAUAUAAAAGUGCAGAUAUUACAAAUGUAUGAAAGGUUACAACAAUGUAUUUUAAUGGUUGACAGGGCAGUGUAACAAUAUAAUAUUUAGCAUUUAAUAAAACUGACACUUCACAAAAAGUCAUACGAAAUCAUAGUAUGUGCCGGCUGCGAUUUAUCGGAUGAGUUCGGGUUCUGCUCAGUCUUACGCCUGUAUUCUAAAAGCACACUCACACUCAAAGAGUGAAGAUUCAAUCCGAGCUUGCCUUGAACAGCUGGAGAGUGAGUAGUCACAUAGUAAGGUACGACAUGCACUAACCCUCCAGGUAUUCAAAAACAGUAUUGACACUCGAGAGAAGCUCAGAUUGAACCUUCACUCUUUCAGUGCGAGUGAGCUUUUAGAAUACGGGCGUUAGUCUGUGAAAGAUACGAUGGUCUAGAAGCCUGGCAGAAUUCAAAGAGACAAAAUAGAAGGCCUUUGUUUCCCAGUUAGCAAAACAUGAAUUUGAUAGGAAGCAACGAAAAUACAAUAUUGGAGUAAAACGUCUGAAAAGUUAAGAGUUUGCCAAGAAUUCCGGUAAAAUUUAAUGACAAAGAAAAUUCUGUUUUAUACGCAGGGGAAAUGACUGGGCAAAAUUUCACAAACACCCCCGAAUAAAAUAGUGCAAGCGCCGCCCUUGGUUGAACUGUACCUCACCCUACAUAAAUCCUUUGUCUCAAUUUCAUUAAAUAUUAUUCAUCGUGAUUUUGACUAGACUAAAUUUUGAUCAAGGAAAGAAGAACGAAAUCCUACACCACAGCUAGAAAGAGCGUCUUAGAAUGAGUAAAACUGCAAAGAUUGUUUGCUAAAUGUUGUAAAAUGAAGAAAAUGUAACCCUUGUGAAGUUCGCAAAUUUUGUAUAUAUUUGUAUUACGCGCGGUAAAAAUAACCACUUUCAAAAAUAAUUCUUUUUCCCGCGCGUAAUGCAAAUAUGUACAAAAUUUGCGAACUUCACAGGGCUAUAUUUUACUCAUUGUACAACAUUUAGCAACCAAACUUUGCAAUUUUACUCAUUUUAAGAUGCUCUUUCCGGAUAUGGUCAUUACCAAUGGUAAUGGAUUCGUUCUUCUUGUUUAGAUCAAAAUUUCAUCCAUAGCUGAAAUCAUUCAUUGACAUUAUUUUACUAUUAUUUUAUGUUUUUCAACCUCAACCUCCAGAUACAUUUAAAAAGCCAGCUAACUGUAUAAACUAGAGAAUAAAGCUAAACCAAAACAAUUUUGAAAGGUACGCCAAAAAGAUUUUAGGUUUUGAACACUUUUCAUCGCAGGUACGCGCUGAAAAAAUUGCCUCUUAAAUAAAGACAUAUUUUUCAUUCGGUGUAGGACUGUUCGGUAUACCGAUAUACCGAAAAUAUCGGUAUUAAAUCAAUAUCGGUGUAUAUCGAUACCGGAUAUUCAACCGUACCGAUAUACCGAAAUUUCGGAUAUACCGGAAUUUUUCGGUAUACCGUGUUAAAUUUACCAACUACCGUAUUUACUCGUUCGAGCGCCGCGGCGCUCUUUAAAUUUUUAGAGAUUCAGAUGCGGCGCUCAUUCGGGGGCGGCGCUCAAUCGGGGGCGGCGCUCUUUAAAAAAUAUUUUAUUUGUGAAUUAUAACAAGAACUUUUGACAAUAAAAUAAACAAGUUUUAAAUGUCUUGGUCACUAAAUGUCCCCAUUUUGAUGGCGGAAAGCUUUUACACUGUCUACAAGUUUACAAAAUAUCAAUGUCACUGUCCUCUUCAUGAUCCGAGUCCAGCUGCUGCAUCGUAACCAUUGUUGGAUAUGCCUCCUCGACUUCAGAAGACGUAAAUUCGUCGCAUUGAAAGGAUCCGAUUAAGCGCCGCAUUUGAAAACAAUUAGUGCGGCGCUCAUUCGGGGGCGGCGCUCUUUAAGAAAAUUUGAUCUCAAAUGCGGCGCUCAUUCGGGGGCGGCGCUCAAUCGGGNNNNNNNNNNNNNNNNNNNNAUUUUAGGUUUUGAACACUUUUCAUCGCAGGUACGCGCUGAAAAAAUUGCCUCUUAAAUAAAGACAUAUUUUUCAUUCGGUGUAGGACUGUUCGGUAUACCGAUAUACCGAAAAUAUCGGUAUUAAAUCAAUAUCGGUGUAUAUCGAUACCGGAUAUUCAACCGUACCGAUAUACCGAAAUUUCGGAUAUACCGGAAUUUUUCGGUAUACCGUGUUAAAUUUACCAACUACCGUAUUUACUCGUUCGAGCGCCGCGGCGCUCUUUAAAUUUUUAGAGAUUCAGAUGCGGCGCUCAUUCGGGGGCGGCGCUCAAUCGGGGGCGGCGCUCUUUAAAAAAUAUUUUAUUUGUGAAUUAUAACAAGAACUUUUGACAAUAAAAUAAACAAGUUUUAAAUGUCUUGGUCACUAAAUGUCCCCAUUUUGAUGGCGGAAAGCUUUUACACUGUCUACAAGUUUACAAAAUAUCAAUGUCACUGUCCUCUUCAUGAUCCGAGUCCAGCUGCUGCACCGUAACCAUUGUUGGAUAUGCCUCCUCGACUUCAGAAGACGUAAAUUCGUCGCAUUGAAAGGAUCCGAUUAAGCGCCGCAUUUGAAAACAAUUAGUGCGGCGCUCAUUCGGGGGCGGCGCUCUUUAAGAAAAUUUGAUCUCAAAUGCGGCGCUCAUUCGGGGGCGGCGCUCAAUCGAGUAAAUACGGUAUAUGGCGAAACCAUAACCUUUAUUUUACUACUGAAUGGCAAGAACUUUCUACUGCAAUGAUUUAGAAUUUCCACUUCAGAUUUUUUUAAGAUUUCCACUUCAGAUUUUACACUGAGCACGUGCAUGUCGUUGGAAACAUGUUCGAAACAGCUUCGAAAUGAUCGUUUUCCCUUUUAGAAUUACUCAAAAUUUCCUUCAAACUUCCAUUAAAGAAUUUUCCUUUAUAAUUAUCAAAGGAAAACCGGUAUACCGAUAAUAUCGGUAUAAUUUUUUCGGUAUACCGAUACCGGAAAUUUCUCAUACCGAACCGUUCCUAAUUCGGUGAUGUCGUCAGAUGACGUGUACCACUUCAUUUUCGAAAACCAUCGUGAAAGUAUGUGUUUGAAGUCAACCAGAUAAAUCGCAAGACCGAUAAACGAGUCUAGUAUCUUUGCCCCUGAUCAAUCAACUUUGAAGUACAAAAUUACAAGCGUUAAUGUUUCUUCUAGAUAUACGAUAUAUAAAAGACAAAGUCACCCUGGACAGUACGUUGUUGUUUACAAAUCAUCAAGUCU
rnacentral:lncRNA from 1 species